AUGGACUGGACCUGGAGAAUUCUCUUCCUGGUGGCAGUGGCUGCAGAUAAGUGUGUGAACUCCCAGGUACAGCUGGUGCAGUCAGGGGCUGAGAUGGGAAAACCUGGGGCAUCAGUGAAGAUCUCCUGCAAGGGGUCCGGAUACACCUUCACAAGCAACAAUAUCAACUGGGUGCGGCAGGCCCCGGGACCAGGGCUAGAGUGGAUGGGAUGGAUACGUCCUAGUGAUGGUGGUACAGGCUAUGCACCAAAGUUCCAGGGCAGAGUUACCUUCACUGUGGACAAGUCCAGGAACACAGCCUACAUGGAACUGAACAGGCUGAGCACUGAGGAGACGGCCGUGUAUUACUGUUGGAGAAACACAACUCUGCAAGUGUGCUUCUCCAAUGUUAGAGGAAGAUACGCUUGUGAGUAG